CAGCCGCCGCGGGAAUACGAAGGGGGCUAGCGUUGUUCGGAUUUACUGGGCGUAAAGGGCGCGUAGGCGGACUGAUAAGUCAGGGGUGAAAUCCCAAGGCUCAACCUUGGAACUGCCUUUGAUACUGUUUGUCUUGAGUUCGAGAGAGGUAAGUGGAACUGCGAGUGUAGAGGUGAAAUUCGUAGAUAUUCGCAAGAACACCAGUGGCGAAGGCGGCUUACUGGCUCGAUACUGACGCUGAGGCGCGAAAGCGUGGGGAGCAAACAGGAUUAGAUACCCCAGUAGUCCCUGUCUCUUAUAC
rnacentral:rRNA from 1 species